rnacentral:lncRNA from 1 species
UCCUCUGUGAUCGUUUUGGCAGCAUAAUCAUCAUAUAUACAUAUUCAUAUACAUCCAUAGAUUUCAUUAUUGCAUUAUUAUUUGCACUUUGUGAUUCAUUAUUUCAUUAUCCUUUGUUAUGGUGGAAUCAUUUCCCCCCCAUAGAUCCAGUGUGUUUGUCCUCUUUCAAUUAUAGAGUGUCAGGCCCUUAAGUAGAAAGAUUUUAACCUUUCUCAUUCCCCACUG